CUCCUCUCUCUGUCUUCCUCUCUAUAACUCUGCCUUUCAAAUAAAAAGUAAAUAGAUAAACCUUUUUGGAAAAAAAGUUUGUUUUGCUACAUGACACUUUGAAAUACAUGCAUUGAAAGGUAUUUAAAAAGCUCAUGAAAACGCAUAUUACAAAAAAAUGCAUAUUACUGCACAGAUUUCAAAAAUGCACAAAAACAAACCAUGUAAUUCCAUUUUUAAUGAAACAUUUACUUUUAAAAAAGAUUUAUUUGAAAGUCAGAGCUACAGAGAGAGGCAGAGGCAGAGAGAGAGAAGUCUUCCAUCUGCUGAUUUACUCCCCAAGUGGCCGCAAUAGCUAGGGCUAAGCCAGAGCCAGGAGCUUAUCCAGGUCUCCCAGGUAGGUGCAGGGGCCCGAGCACUUGGGCCAUCUUCCAUUGCUGUUUCCAGGCCGUUAGCAGCGAGUUGGAUCGGUAGUGGAGCAGCCAGGACUCUGGCCGGCACCCAUGUGGGAUGCUGGUGCUGCAGGCAGCGGCUCAGCCUGCUAUGCCACCGCAGUGCUGGCCCCUGUCUUAUUUCUCAACUGUUUGUAGCAGGUGCAGUGAAUGACCAUUCCCUCUCCCCUGCUCUCUUUCCCUCCCCCACCCCACCUGAAGGGGUGUCCACACUGGAGAAGUCUGAUCCGAUUUCACUGGUCCGCUGGGCAGAGGCUCUCCCCUCUCUGCAUGCACAGGGACAGGACCAAGCCUGCUUCCUUGUGUGAGGGUGUCCCUGGGCCUCCGGCAAGCCUCCCGCCCCUCAUCCUCCCAGCUGUCCUGUCCCUCUUCAAGGCUUCUUGCACACCAGCUCCAGCCGUGCCUGUCCCCACCCCCACCCUUUCCCCACGCAUGCCCCAUCUCCCACCUUCUGUGCCAGCUGUAGCCCGAAUGUCUUCUGCGCUGUGAGGCCUGGAGUAUCUCUGAGGAGGUGGGAAGGGAGAACAGGGUGGCUUCCCUGGGUGCUCGACUUUCAAAGAACGGCUCCUUGUCACUGCCACCGCCACUGAAUAGCACAGUCCAGGUGAUCUGGAGCAAGCACCACGGAACCCGCUAGGGCCUCGGGCACACCCACUGGGAGGCCACAGGGGGAGGCUUCCCACCUCGACCACAGCCUCACCGUGGGCAUGGCGGUCGUCUCAGGCUGUUGGAGCUACCCUGAGUCUCAGCUCCCUGUGUGUGACAUGAGAGAAGCAACGUAGUUGUCGGGGUUCAGGGAGCAAACAGGUGUGAAUCCUUUGCCUAAAUUCGUGUCUGUUCACAUGUCCGCGGCUGGUGCCAUCACUCCAUUAUCAUUACUAUUAGCCUGACGUUCUCUAGGUUUAAAGAAUUUGUAUUUACUUGAGAGGAAGAGAGAGAGAUUGAAAGGGAGAGGGAGAGCAAGAGAGAGAGGGAGGGAGAAGGAGAAUGAAAGGAAGAGAGAUUGAGAGGAAGAGGUUGAGAGGGAGAGAGAGAUUGAGAGGGAGGGAGAGAGAUUGAGAGGGAAAGAGAGAGGUUGAGAGAGAUUGAGAGGGAGAGGGAGAGAAAGAGAGAGAGAGAGAGGGAGAGGAAGAAUGAGAGGAAGAAUUGAGAGAGAGAGAUUGAGAGGGAGAGAGAGAGAUUGAGAGGGAGAGAGAGAUUGAGAGGGAAAGAGAGAGGUUGAGAGAGAUUGAGAGGGAGAGGGAGAGAAAGAGAGUGAGAGAGGGAGAGGAAGAAUGAGAGGGAGAGAGAUUGAGAGGGAGAGAGAGAUUGAGAGGGAGAGAGAGAGAUUGAGAGGGAGAGAGAGAGAUUGAGAAGGGGAGAGAGAGAAAGAUUGAGAAGGGGAGAGAGAGCGAGCGAGCGCUCCCACCCAUUGGUUCACUCCUUAAAUGCCCACAAUGGCGGGGCCUGGGCUGGGGCCAGGAUCAAGAAUAGGGCACUCAAUCCAGGCUUUUCGUGUGGGUGGCAGGAACCCAAUUACUUGGGCUAUCAGGGCUGCCUCUCUGGGUGUGCGCAGAUGAGAAGUUAGAGCCAGAACAGGAACCUAGUCAGUGUGCACCGGGACAGAGGCAUCUUACUGCUAGGGUGCAUGCCCGCUCCUAAGACGGCCAUUCUCGCACGGAGCAGUCACACGAGACGUCUUUAGAAAGUUCCCUGGACAUGCAUGUUCUGAAUAACCUUAUGCGUGCAUUUCAAAAUUUUAUUGCACCCAAAUAAACUUAGCUUUUAAUUCCA
rnacentral:lncRNA from 1 species